rnacentral:rRNA from 1 species
CCUACGGGAGGCAGCAGUGGGGAAUAUUGGGCAAUGGAGGGAAACUCUGACCCAGCGACGCCGCGUGAGGGAUGAAGGCCUUCGGGUUGUAAACCUCUUUCAGUAGGGAAGAAGCGAAAGUGACGGUACCUACAGAAGAAGCACCGGCUAACUAUGUGCCAGCAGCCGCGGUAAUACAUAGGGUGCAAGCGUUGUCCGGAAUUAUUGGGCGUAAAGAGCUCGUAGGUGGUUCGAUACGUCGGAUGUGAAAAUCAGGGGCUCAACCCCUGACCUGCAUCCGAUACGGUCGAGCUAGAGUUUGGUAGGGGAGACUGGAAUUCCUGGUGUAGCGGUGGAAUGCGCAGAUAUCAGGAGGAACACCGAUGGCGAAGGCAGGUCUCUGGGCCAAUACUGACACUGAGGAGCGAAAGCGUGGGGAGCGAACAGGAUUAGAUACCCUGGUAGUCCACGCCGUAAACGGUGGGCGCUAGUUGUGCGAACCUUCCACGGUUUGUGCGACGCAGCUACGCAUAGCGCCCGCCGUCGGGAGUACGAGCGCGAGAUAAACUACAAGAAGUAGACGCGUGAGACGUGCGACGACGACGACGAGGGAGAGG